CCUACGGGUGGCAGCAGUGGGGAAUAUUGGGCAAUGGGCGCAAGCCUGACCCAGCAACGCCGCGUGAAGGAUGAAGGCUUUCGGAUUGUAAACUUCUGUCGCGGGGGACGAAGAAUGACGGUACCUCGUAAGAAAGCCCCGGCUAACUACGUGCCAGCAGCCGCGGUAAUACGUAGGGGGCAAGCGUUGUCCGGAAUGACGGGGCGUAAAGGGCGUGUAGGCGGCGUAUCAAGUUAGAUGUGAAAUCCCGGGGCUGAACCGCGGAACUGCAUCUAAAACUGGUGAGGUGGAGUGCAGGAGAGGGGAGUGGAAUUCCUGGUGUAGCGGUGGAAUGCGUAGAGAUGAGGAGGAACACCAGAGGCGAAGGCGACUCACUGGAC
rnacentral:rRNA from 1 species